CAACUCAUGAAUUGUGACAUCAUGACCUGAGCUGAGGUCCAAUGCUUAACCCAGCGAGCCACCAAGGCAGGGGCCCUGUGUGAUACUUAUAAGAGAAUAUCUCUCCCACCACCCUCAUUCUCCCUGCUUUAGAGAUCAUAUUGUGGGGACAGGAGACCUGGAGCUGAAGCACGUAUUUUGUGACCACUAGGCAAGAAGUCUGAAGGAAAAUUCCAAAAUAAUAGGAGGAAUCGGAAAGAGAAAACCACCAUUUGGGUCAUUGAGAUCAUACUUGGGCUGGCAAUCAAGCCUUAUUUUUAUUGGUAAUGAAUAUUCUCUGGCUUAAUGCAUGGUUACUGUGGUUUUCUAGUUCCUAGAACAGUGUCUGGCACAUGGAAGGAAAUCCAAAGUGUUUGUUGAUUCAAUAGCUUAAAUUUUGGUCAUUUUCAUGUUCCAAACAUCCAAUACGGUUCUUCAUAUGCAUUAGCUGAUGGAGAAGCUGAAACCUACAGGCUGUACAGAGGUAUCUCAGGUCAUACCUUUGGUUCAAAUAAAAUCCAGAACAGAAGAACUGGAAAGACUGCAGGUGUGACUUUCAAAAGACCCAUCAAUUCUUCAAUGGAAAACAUCAACACACAGUCUGCAUCCUAAGAUUCUUGGAAUGUCUUGCCUGAAAAAUCCUUGCCUGCUGUUUUUGACAACCCUGGACUAUUGUCUCUUAAUCUUUACCCAGUUCUCAUCAAGCUCCCCAGCGAACUAAAUCUCUGAUUCUCAAUUAAUGCUGAAUUCGUUCCCCCACAGAGACAUUACCAAAGCUUUGCAGAGGUUGUGUUCUUCGUUAAUAUAUGUUAACAUCAUCCAUAUAUCUGAUUCAGAUUUUUGAAAAUGUAAAGAUGAGCUGUUGCUAUAGGAGAAAAGGCCACAUCUUGACUGAAUUUCAUAGAUUCCAGGAAGGAUCGUAUUAAUCAUCCUUGUUUAUGUGCACCUAAGGUAUGCUUUGAAACUUUUUGUAAGGUAGAA